rnacentral:rRNA from 1 species
CCUACGGGAGGCAGCAGUGAGGAAUAUUGGACAAUGGACGAGAGUCUGAACCAGCCAUGUAGCGUGAAGGAUGACUGCCCUAUGGGUUGUAAGCUUCUUUUAUAUGGGAAUAAAAUGUUCCACGUGUGGGAUUUUGUAUGUACCAUAUGAAUAAAGAUCGGCUAACUUCGUGCCAUCAGCCGCGGUACUACGGAGGAUCCGAGCGUUAUCCGGAUUGAUUGGGUUUAAAGGGAGCGUAGGUGGAUUGUUUAGUCAGUUGUGAAAGUUUGCGGCUCAACCGUAAAAUUGCAGUUGAAACUGGCAGUCUUGAGUACAGUAGAGGUGGGUGGAAUUCGUGGUGUAGCGGUGAAAUGCGUAGAGAUCACGAAGAACUCCGAUGGCGAAGGCAGCUCACUGGACUGCAACUGACACUGAGGUUCGAAAGUGUGGGUAUCAAACAGGAUUAGAUACCCGUGUAGUC